AGAACCAGCUGAAUUCCUUUUGGGGCCACAGGGUUGCUGGAGCCUUUCCUGGUGAUCCCAGAAGGCAGCAGUGUGCAGCUUUUGAGAACACUUUAAUCUGCACUCCAGUCGGACAUGUGGGACGUGGCCUUGCCCCCGCGUCACCCCCAGCAGAGUCUCUGAGGAUUGACGCGGAUCGCUCGCAGAUCGCACAGGAAAUAGACCAGACACCAGAACCAUCAGCUGCAUGGCGCGCCUGGUGUGACCUACACCAUAGGCCUCCAUUGUGCAUCCAGUGUGGACCUAGUGAUGUUACUCUGUAAAAUAGAUUAUUUGUAUACACAAUACUUCUGUAUAAAAACACUUUUAUUGGUGACAUUUGUCUAAAAAUGGUCUUGAUUCAUCUCUAACUGAUGUGGAUGAAUUUAGUCUUUGUGAUGCCCAAAAUCAUAAAACAAUCAAAGCUAAAAUGGAAUGGGAUUUAUUUCUGUGUCCUGAACAGAAUUUAUAUUCCGUCAACAAGUGAUCACUGCUAAAUGAUCCAGAUGGGUCAGAUGUCCCUCAGGCCCCGGCUGAGACCUGUGCCUCCUCUUCCUCCUGAGCCUUGAAGCCUGCUAGGGGACGCGUGGGGCCUUUUGUGUGCGCAGCAUGGGAGGCCGCAGACGCCCCUCCCAAGAGACACAGCGGAGGUUAAUGAUCUCACAGCCUCUGCUAAAAUAAAUAAAUCACUUCCAGCCGGGGCUGCGCAUAAAUCUUUCGUCAAACGGCGAUUUGCUGUAGCAAGCACCACCAGUUGCUAAUGACUGUUUUUUUCCUCAGCGCCUGAUUGCCUGAGGGGGUGGGCUGUGACACAGAUGAGUUCCUUCCCUCACUCUCGACUCUCACCUUUCCUCCCCCACGGCUCUCCCACACACACACAGUCUUCAUUGCUAUUGUAAUUCUCAGCGUGUUUUGUCAGGGGACAUUAGCUGGCUGACAGGCGUCUGGUUAGGAUGGGGGGAGCAUUUGUAGUGACAGUGGUUGUUGUUUCAUGUUUGAGCUGAGCUGAUAGUCGGAGACGUGUGUGUGUGUGUGUGUGUGUGUGUGGUGAGGUACGACUGUCAUACACAACAUCACACAUAGCGUAACACGAGGCCUCGCUCAAUCUACGUCUCCAUCAGCAAAUGCUUUUCCUCAAGAUUGCACAAUCAUAGACACAUAUUUUGAGAAUAAAAAAAAUACACAAACUAAAAAUGUUCACGAUAAUUCCGAAUUUAAAAUCAUGAACUGAACCUGCAGUUCGUUCUGAUUUCAACAAAUCUAUGUCAGCAGUUUUAUUGAUAUUAUCAUUCAAAACGUUGUAUGAGCGACUCAUAUUUAUCAGACUGAUUUUCUCUCUAAGUCAGGGGAGUCAAAUUAAAUCACACAAGGGGCCAAAAUCCAAAACACACUUUAGGUCGCGGGCUGAAUGGGAAAAACAUUAUUGAACACAAUAAAACUACAUUUUUAAAACUAAAACCGUAACUUUUUACCAUAAUUA